AAAAGUGGAUGUCCUUUUUAUUUUGCUAUCACCCAAUCGGCCCUUGCACUAACUUGUCCGAGUAGCUUUAUUUCUCCUCCAAUUAGGGUUUUCUGUUUUCUCACAAAAAGGAGAAUCUUAUUCAAGGAAGGAGUCAAAAAUAACAUAUUAAAAUCUGCUUCUUUCUUGAAAUCGGCCAUUUUCCUGUUACACGUGCACUGAAAUGGGAAGGGGAAAGUUCAAGGGCAAGCCCACUGGCCGUCGCCAGUUCUCUACUCCUGAGCAGAUGAGUAUGUUUUGCUGUUCCCAUCUUUUCCUAUUUUUGUCUAUAAUAGUUGGCAUGUUUCCAUCUAUGUAUUCGUAUAGCUGUUUUUGAAAUUUUCUUGUUUGUUUCGAGAUUAAAUUGGAUUAGGAUCCUUGUGGAAACUUGGGAUUUUAUAUUGUCGAUUUUGUUAGGGUUUUUUGGUGCUUCAAUAUUGAAUUUCGCUAGAUUGUCUUUUGUUUCCCGUGCAGUUGUAUAUUUUGUUUUUGAUUAUUUGAAAUUGUUUUUGACUUUUUAUUGCCUCUGGUCUCAGCGGGAGAUCCGCGCAUUAGAAUCUGGAUUGGAAAAGUCACCCUUUUGACAUGGAUUGAUUUUUUUAUUUUUUUAUUAGGCAAUUACAUUCGAAACUUGGUUCAAAGUCUGAUAGGUUUGCAUGGAAACUUGGAACAUUUCCAAUUUUAGCACGUUGAAAAGAAAUGUGAGAGAGAUAAUUAACUUCGAAUUAUUUAGUGAAAUUUUUUUUAUUUUCAAUUUAUUUUUGAAAACACAUAAAAGUAGGAAAAGAUUUUCGUUUAAAAUAAGUUUUUCCCCCCCAAUAUGUGGAAAUUGAAUCACUGUUUUACAAGCAAGCUUUAUGUUUUUCUAAAAUUUUGCAAAUUCUCCAUUGCAUUUUGGACCCCUACCAAAGCAUCUAAAAUGUUUCCCUUUUUUCAUUAUUACAUAAAUUAUCAUGGAAAAUUAACUUUGAUACACAAUCCUCCCUAGCUCUUAGUUAUUUGCAAUUAUAUACAUCAUGACACAUUCAUUGAAUUCAUUUAUAAUUUUUCCUUGGGAAUAUUAAAUGGUAAUCAGAAAUAACUAAUGUUGAGAAUUAGCUUGGAUUAACUAUUUGUUAUUUAAAAUGGCUGUUCACUCAAGCUUGGAUUCUCAUAUGUUGCUAAGGCAUUCUUUCUUCAACAUGUAAGACUUCGUUUCCUUGAAUUGCUGAUGUAUCAAGACUUAUAAUCAGUUUCUGAUAGAAUUUUUGUUAAUAUCUUUUUGUACACAUGCGAAAUGUGUUAUUUCCAAAAGAAGAAUGAUGCAAAUAUUUGCCUUGAGCACACUUCAUUAUUGUGUGUUUAGAAAGCAAAAACUAUGAAGUUAAGGUUUCACGUCCUUUGAAGCAGCAGAGGGUGAAAGAAAGAUUGGGGGGGGGGGGGGG
rnacentral:lncRNA from 1 species